GAUGAACGCUGGCGGCGUGCCUAAUACAUGCAAGUCGAGCGAACGGACGAGAAGCUUGCUUCUCUGAUGUUAGCGGCGGACGGGUGAGUAACACGUGGAUAACCUACCUAUAAGACUGGGAUAACUUCGGGAAACCGGAGCUAAUACCGGAUAAUAUUUUGAACCGCAUGGUUCAAAAGUGAAAGACGGUCUUGCUGUCACUUAUAGAUGGAUCCGCGCUGCAUUAGCUAGUUGGUAAGGUAACGGCUUACCAAGGCAACGAUGCAUAGCCGACCUGAGAGGGUGAUCGGCCACACUGGAACUGAGACACGGUCCAGACUCCUACGGGAGGCAGCAGUAGGGAAUCUUCCGCAAUGGGCGAAAGCCUGACGGAGCAACGCCGCGUGAGUGAUGAAGGUCUUCGGAUCGUAAAACUCUGUUAUUAGGGAAGAACAUAUGUGUAAGUAACUGUGCACAUCUUGACGGUACCUAAUCAGAAAGCCACGGCUAACUACGUGCCAGCAGCCGCGGUAAUACGUAGGUGGCAAGCGUUAUCCGGAAUUAUUGGGCGUAAAGCGCGCGUAGGCGGUUUUUUAAGUCUGAUGUGAAAGCCCACGGCUCAACCGUGGAGGGUCAUUGGAAACUGGAAAACUUGAGUGCAGAAGAGGAAAGUGGAAUUCCAUGUGUAGCGGUGAAAUGCGCAGAGAUAUGGAGGAACACCAGUGGCGAAGGCGACUUUCUGGUCUGUAACUGACGCUGAUGUGCGAAAGCGUGGGGAUCAAACAGGAUUAGAUACCCUGGUAGUCCACGCCGUAAACGAUGAGUGCUAAGUGUUAGGGGGUUUCCGCCCCUUAGUGCUGCAGCUAACGCAUUAAGCACUCCGCCUGGGGAGUACGACCGCAAGAUUGAAACUCAAAGGAAUUGACGGGGACCCGCACAAGCGGUGGAGCAUGUGGUUUAAUUCGAAGCAACGCGAAGAACCUUACCAAAUCUUGACAUCCUUUGACAACUCUAGAGAUAGAGCUUUCCCCUUCGGGGGACAAAGUGACAGGUGGUGCAUGGUUGUCGUCAGCUCGUGUCGUGAGAUGUUGGGUUAAGUCCCGCAACGAGCGCAACCCUUAAGCUUAGUUGCCAUCAUUAAGUUGGGCACUCUAAGUUGACUGCCGGUGACAAACCGGAGGAAGGUGGGGAUGACGUCAAAUCAUCAUGCCCCUUAUGAUUUGGGCUACACACGUGCUACAAUGGACAAUACAAAGGGCAGCGAAACCGUGAGGUCAAGCAAAUCCCAUAAAGUUGUUCUCAGUUCGGAUUGUAGUCUGCAACUCGACUACAUGAAGCUGGAAUCGCUAGUAAUCGUAGAUCAGCAUGCUACGGUGAAUACGUUCCCGGGUCU
rnacentral:rRNA from 1 species